rnacentral:rRNA from 1 species
AGAGUUUGAUCCUGUCUCAGGACGAACGCUGGCGGCGUGCUUAACACAUGCAAGUCGAACGGAAAGGCCCUUCGGGGUACUCGAGUGGUGAACGGGUGAGUAACACGUGGGCGAUCUGCCCUGCACUUUGGGAUAGGCCUGGGAAACUGGGUCUAAUACCGAAUAGGACCACGCGCUUCAUGGUGUGUGGUGGAAAGCUUUUGCGGUGUGGGAUGGGCCCGCGGCCUAUCAGCUUGUUGGUGGGGUAAUGGCCUACCAAGGCGACGACGGGUAGCCGGCCUGGGAGGGUGACCGGCCACACUGGGACUGAGAUACGGCCCAGACUCCUACGGGAGGCAGCAGUGGGGAAUAUUGCACAAUGGGCGCAAGCCUGAUGCAGCGACGCCGCGUGAGGGAUGACGGCCUUCGGGUUGUAAACCUCUUUCAAUAGGGACGAAGCGUGAGUGACGGUACCUAUAGAAGAAGCACCGGCCAACUACGUGCCAGCAGCCGCGGUAAUACGUAGGGUGCGAGCGUUGUCCGGAAUUACUGGGCGUAAAGAGCUCGUAGGUGGUUUGUCGCGUUGUUCGUGAAAACUCACAGCUUAACUGUGGGCGUGCGGGCGAUACGGGCAGACUAGAGUACUGCAGGGGAGACUGGAAUUCCUGGUGUAGCGGUGGAAUGCGCAGAUAUCAGGAGGAACACCGGUGGCGAAGGCGGGUCUCUGGGCAGUAACUGACGCUGAGGAGCGAAAGCGUGGGGAGCGAACAGGAUUAGAUACCCUGGUAGUCCACGCCGUAAACGGUGGAAAAUGGGUGUGGGUUCCUUCCUUGGGAUCCGUGCCGUAGCUAACGCACUAAGUACCCCGCCCUGGGGGGUGCGGCCGCAAGGCUAAAACUCAAAGGAAUUGACGGGGGCCCGCACAAGCGGCGGAGUAUGUGGAUUAAUUCGAUGCAACGCGAAGAACCUUACCUGGGUUUGACAUGCACAGGACGCCGGCAGAGAUGUCGGUUCCCUUGUGGCCUGUGUGCAGGUGGUGCAUGGCUGUCGUCAGCUCGUGUCGUGAGAUGUUGGGUUAAGUCCCGCAGCGAGCGCAACCCCCGUCCUAUGUUGCCAGCGGGUUAUGCCGGGGACUCGUAGGAGACUGCCGGGGUCAACUCGGAGGAAGGUGGGGAGGACGUCAAGUCAUCAUGCCCCCUAUGUCCAGGGCUUCACACAUGCUACAAUGGCCGGUACAAAGGGCUGCGAUGCCGUGAGGUGGAGCGAAUCCUUUCAAAGCCGGUCUCAGUUCGGAUCGGGGUGUGCAACUCGACCCCGCGAAGUCGGAGUCGCUAGUAAUCGCAGAUCAGCAACGCUGCGGCGAAUAAAUUCCCGGGCCUUGCACUCACCGCCCGUCA